GGACGAACGCUGGCGGCGCGCCUAACACAUGCAAGUCGAGGGGCAGCAUGGUCUUAGCUUGCUAAGGCCGAUGGCGACCGGCGCACGGGUGAGUAACGCGUAUCCAACCUGCCUUACACUCUUGGACAGCCUUCUGAAAGGGAGAUUAAUACAAGAUGUUAUCAUGAGUAAGCAUUUUCGCAUGAUUAAAGGUUUACCGGUGUAAGAUGGGGAUGCGUUCCAUUAGAUAGUAGGCGGGGUAACGGCCCACCUAGUCUUCGAUGGAUAGGGGUUCUGAGAGGAAGGUCCCCCACAUUGGAACUGAGACACGGUCCAAACUCCUACGGGAGGCAGCAGUGAGGAAUAUUGGUCAAUGGACGAGAGUCUGAACCAGCCAAGUAGCGUGAAGGAUGAAGGUUCUAUGGAUUGUAAACUUCUUUUAUACGGGAAUAAACGAAUCCACGUGUGGAUUUUUGCAUGUACCGUAUGAAUAAGGAUCGGCUAACUCCGUGCCAGCAGCCGCGGUAAUACGGAGGAUCCGAGCGUUAUCCGGAUUUAUUGGGUUUAAAGGGAGCGUAGAUGGGUUGUUAAGUCAGUUGUGAAAGUUUGCGGCUCAACCGUAAAAUUGCAAUUGAUACUGGCAGUCUUGAGUACAGUUGAGGUAGGCGGAAUUCGUGGUGUAGCGGUGAAAUGCUUAGAUAUCACGAAGAACUCCGAUUGCGAAGGCAGCUUACUAACCUGUAACUGACAUUGAUGCUCGAAAGUGUGGGUAUCAAACAGG
rnacentral:rRNA from 1 species